AGAGCAUCCAGCAAAUGCCUGCCUUCCUUUCUAAUUCUUCUGCCGUAGAUCGAAUGCUUGUGUCUCUCCAGAAGUCAUAUCGUGAAAUAACCCUCAAGUAACGGAGAGAUGACUAACACAAGGCUAAGCUACUAAACCACCAUUCCAUAAAAACACAGAGGAUUUCAGAGAUGCGGUGUUUUCUUAGACACGAACCCAGACUCUGUGACCCUGGGGAAUUACCACAUGGGCACCUGACCAUCGCCAGAGCAAAGCCUACUGAGAGACACAAACUGCACGUCUGAUACCUUCAGAAAAGCUGAAGACUUCUGUACCUUGUCUGAUAGACACCAGCUUGUCCAUCUCAUCCCUAUGUGUUCCUGGAGAUGUCUGCUGGUCUCUCCUUUAGAAGCCCCAAGUCUCUACUUUUCUUCACAGUCGUUUGAGUGAACAGUAAUGGACACCACAGCAUUUUAAGCAGAGUGGAGGUAAAAAUAAAGAACCUUGUCUGACUGUGACUUUCUUUUAGGCUAAAAAAGAACCACCUUUUCUGAUCAAGUCAAACCCACCCUGGCAGGCUCUCUCUGGGUUCUG